rnacentral:rRNA from 1 species
CUUUUGGGUCCUAUAAUUGGAAUGAGUACAAUUUAAAUCCGUUAACGAGGAACAAUUGGAGGGCAAGUCUGGUGCCAGCAGCCGCGGUAAUUCCAGCUCCAAUAGCGUAUAUUAAAGUUGUUGCAGUUAAAAAGCUCGUAGUUGAACUUCAGACCUGACCGGGCGGUCCGCCCAACGGUGUGUACUGUCUGGCCGGGCCUUACCUCUUGGUGAGCCGGCAUGCCCUUCACUGGGUGUGUCGGGGAACCAGGACCUUUACCUUGAGAAAAUUAGAGUGUUCAAAGCAGGCUUACGCCGGAAUACAUUAGCAUGGAAUAAUAAAAUAGGACGUGCGGUUCUAUUUUGUUGGUUUCUAGAGUCGCCGUAAUGAUUAAUAGGGAUAGUUGGGGGCAUUUGUAUUGCGUUGCUAGAGGUGAAAUUCUUGGAUUUACGCAAGACAAACUAUUGCGAAAGCAUUUGCCAAGGAUGUUUUCAUUAAUCAAGAACGAAGGUUAGGGGAUCGAAAACGAUCAGAUACCGUUGUAGUCUUAACAGUAAACUAUGCCGACUAGGGAUCGGACGACCUCAAUAUUAUGCGUCGUUCGGCACCUUACGAGAAAUCAAAGUCUUUGGGCUCUGGGGGGAGUAUGGUCGCAAGGCUGAAACUUAAAGGAAUUGACGGAAGGGCACCACCAGGAGUGGAGCCUGCGGCUUAAUUUGACCCAACACGGGGAAACUCACCAGGUCCAGACAUAACUAGGAUUGACAGAUUGAUAGCUCUUUCUUGAUUUUAUGGGUGGUGGUGCAUGGCCGUUCUUAGUUGGUGGAGUGAUUUGUCUGGUUAAUUCCGAUAACGAACGAGACCUUAACCUGCUAAAUAGCCUGGCCGGCUUUUGCUGGUCACUGGCUUCUUAGAGGGACUGUCAGCGUCUAGCUGACGGAAGUUUGAGGCAAUAACAGGUCUGUGACCCCUUAGAUGUUCUGGGCCGCACGCGCGCUACACUGACAGAGCCAGCGAGUUUUUUUUCCUUGGCCGGAAGGUCAUGGGUAAUCUUGUGAAACUCUGUCGUGCUGGGGAUAGAGCAUUGCAAUUAUUGCUCUUCAACGAGGAAUUCCUAGUAAGCGUGAGGCAUCAGCUCGCGUUGAUUACGUCCCUGCCCUUUGUACACACCGCCCGUCGCUACUACCGAUUGAAUGGCUUAGUGAGACCUCCGGAUUGGCUUUGGGGAGUCGGCAACGACACCCCGUUGCUGAAAAGUUGGUCAAACUUGGUCAUUUAGAGGAAGUAAAAGUC